rnacentral:rRNA from 1 species
CUAUGCGCCUUGCCAGCCCGCUCAGGUGUGCCAGCAGCCGCGGUAAUACGUAGGGGGCAAGCGUUAUCCGGAUUUACUGGGUGUAAAGGGGGCGCAGACGGCGAUGCAAGCCAGGGGUGAAAGCCCGGGGCCAACCCCGGGACUGCCCUUGGAACUGCAUGGCUGGAGUGCGGGAGGGGGCAGGCGGAAUUCCUGGUGUAGCGGUGAAAUGCGUAGAUAUCAGGAGGAACACCGGCGGCGAAGGCGGCCUGCUGGACUGCGACUGACGUCGAGGCUCGAGAGCGUGGGGAGCGAACAGG